GGUUCUUUUCAGCACGUUUCAAAAGGUCCGCUGAUAUCUCAACAGAGUCUUGACCUAUUCCUAGUUUCUCCACACGAGAUCGUGUAUUCGCGGCCAUCGCAUUCAAAAAUAAAUUAAACUACAUGCAACACUCGGAAGACAGGUCUGGAUGAGGUUCGGUGGAAACGACAAAAGUCGAGUUCGGAUGCCGUAAUGUUGCCAACCUACGAAAUUAAUUGUUCCAUGACCGAUGUUUAUAUCAGUUUAUUCAUCAAGAAGUGAGGAGAAGAGAACGAAGAUAAUAACCUCUACUAAUCUCAUAACAAUUCGAAUAAACAUAACCACUCUUUAAUAUUUGUAUACAAAUUCCGACCUGGCUGUAAUUUUAUGCGGUCGGUAAAAGCUUUACCUUGCCGUUACUCUGGUGUGACAUCGUGUAACUAGCGUCCCGUGAAAACAGACAAGCCAACUCAACUCUGACCCGAUUCGAAACCGCGGUGGAAACUGAGUCGAUGAAAAGUCUGAAUAAACAAUUAAAGGACAAGGAUUACGACUAACGUCUGUUAAUCUAUCGGAUAUGGUUUCUUACUUUUUCCAAACGGAUUGUGAUCCAAAAAACGUUCUAAUUACUUUAUUAUAGACCUAUAAACAAUUGUGUUUCGAUCGCACCUCCUAAAUACUUUGAAUGGACAAAAAGUUGAAAAAUUUCUGGCUAACUUGAAGCAAAAAUGUAUCUUUCAUAUAAAGAGCGAAAUAAGAUCCAACAAACGUCUUGCUUGUUCCAACAAAUGAUUGGGUGGAAAAAAAACUCAAAAAUCGAUUUUAAACUAACUAUUGACCAUUAAACGCUAACCAAUGAACAAGAAAUAAUUAAAAAAAGAAUUAUCUUCAUCGAGUCAGGUGAGAGCAAAAAAGCCAAGUAUAUGGUUUUGUCCAGGUAUUAAUUUGCUAUGGUAAAUUCAAGGCGUUGUAAACGUGCAUUUCUUACAACCUCAUUCACCGGAUUGUUUGUUUUUAUUUCGACAAUGGACGACAAUUUCAAAACUUCUAUAUUUGACAUCGAUGCAUCUUUGCGUUACAAUUCUUCAGAGUGUUCAAAAAGGAAUACAUACCGUCAGAGAAAUAAAUUAUAAUGCGAAUGGCAGGCAAGAUGCUUUAAAUCGAUUUGUAGUCAUCAUUUUUUAAAAGGUUCUAACGGCAGGAGGUCGUAUCCGUCUACAUACGACCUUUUGUUUUCCAAAUUUAUUUCAUUGCUUCCGGUCAAAAUAAGAAAUAAGUGUAAACAAUUAAACUUCAAACCUUGAAAACUCUGAGAUAUAAACUUGAUUUUGGAGUAAUUUUCAAUAUGUCAAAGAGUUGGCCAUUGAACCUUCGAGUACCGGGAUUUUGACUAAACAAUUUAUUUUCGAUAUAUCUUGAGGCGCUGAACACGAUACCGUUGGCAAUAUUUGCUCGAAAACCUCCAAAUUUUUAUGAAACGCUCAAUUUUGGUAAAAAAAUGAAUAUUUGAUUUAUUCUCAGGUUUGUUCCGACACAUCAUUUCAAAUAUUCUUUUAAGCCACUGUAGUGGCUUUAUGCGUUGACUGAUAAUCCUCUUUACGCUAUUCUAAAGGUCAAGAGGAUAAAUGGAGGAAGCUCUUGAGAAUAAUUGGACGCUAAUAUGAAAAAACACAUUGGCCAACAAGAAAAUGUUUGGUUUUUACUUUAACUGUCAGGGGAAUGCAAAGCUCAACCCAGAUAAUAAGGAUAUACCAAUUGUAAGAAUUUUUCCAAACUGCUUACGGCAUUUAAUUGGAGACCAAAGAGCUACCAAAACUUUCAUUAUAUGAGUAACUACCCUGUUAUUGAAGUCAUAGUGGGUGGUAGAACAUAGACUAUCUUUUUCAGCGGCGGUGGGAUACAAGUUUACGUCCCAACCGUCUUCAUACAUUUUUCACGGUCUAGCAUUUGUAAUAAAACUUUUCGACUUCAAAG